rnacentral:rRNA from 1 species
UACGAAGGGGGCGAGCGUUAUUCGGAAUCACUGGGCGUAAAGCGUGCGUAGGCUGUUUGACAAGUUAGACGUGAAAGCCCAGGGCUCAACCCUGGAAUUGCUUUCAAAACUGUCAGACUCGAAUCUCGGAGAGGAUAGCGGAAUUUCCAGUGUAGUAGUGAAAUACGUAGAUAUUGGAAGGAACACCAGUGGCGCAAGCGGCUAUCUGGACGAGUAUUGACGCUGAGGCACGAAAGCGUGGGGAUCAAACAGG